CCUACGGGCGGCAGCAGUGGGGAAUAUUGCGCAAUGGGCGAAAGCCUGACGCAGCGACGCCGCGUGAGGGAUGAAGGUCUUCGGAUCGUAAACCUCUGUCAGCAGGGAAGAACGGUCACGGGGCUAAGCAGCAGUGAAUUGACGGUACCGGCAAAGGAAGCACCGGCUAACGCCGUGCCAGCAGCCGCGGUAAUACGGAGGGUGCGAGCGUUAAGCGGAUUUACUGGGCGUAACGCGCUCGUAGGCGGUAUGUCAAGUCAAGGGUGAAAUCCCCGCGCGCCACGUGGGAACUGCCUUUGAAACUGGCAAACUGGAGUGUGUGAGAGUAUAGUGGAAUUCCUGGUGU
rnacentral:rRNA from 1 species